GAGCUGUGAUGAUAAGUUGAUAUUGUGAUUGGGAGGGUCCUUCACAAACGUCUGAUUCAAAGAUGACAUUUAAACACAUCUGAGCUC
rnacentral:snoRNA from 1 species